GGCGAGUUGGCUGGAUGGCGUCUUCCUUUCCCCUCCGCUGAUUGAUCUCGUUUCCAUGGUACAAUUAUUAUUUUAUUAUGUUUUCAAUAACAAAUGGAAAAUGUGUGCUCUAGCGAGUAGAGAGUUCUAGAAUGUCGUGAUUGUUCAUUGAAACGAAAUUCAUAUUCAAAAAGGACCUACAUGGAUUGUUUCUGUUGCUGCUAAUCUGAUGUGAAAUGGAAAAUGCCAGCAUGUUUGAGACAUCAAUUGGCCACUGUUCUUUACUCGGUUUUAUUUCGAAUUGAGAACAAAACUGUUUCUUGUAACGGUGACCAAUGUCGGAUUUGGGCUUCGGGGGGCCCGGGUCAGAUCUAUUGACGGGGGCCCUUAGCACAAAAUGAGCGGGGAACGCUAAGCAUAGAAAAGUUAAGUAUUGUGAAAAUAAAAUAUCCGGGAAACUCCAAACGAUUGUAAUAUGCAU